GGAAAGUUUAUAUACAUUUUGAUGCAAGUUUAAAAGCUAACAAUCAAUGCUCUCUAAGUAGGAACAAUAUGCCCAGAUUUUAAAGUGUCCAUCAUUAGACCCUGAGACAUGUACAAAUUCUAUGAAAAAGCUGCAUAAAUGUCAAAUUCUAUAUAUGGUGGUAGUAACGCCAGACCGGUCUAUCAGAAGACAACCGAUUCCUUUGAAGAAAGAAGUCUACGCUUGAGCGGGGCUCGUUCCUAAAGCAAAAUGCUUCAGAUUUAUCAUGACCAGUAGCAUCUAACACUUGACAGAACAGAUAAAGAAACUAUUAGUGUUUCAGAGGUGAACAGAAAGGAACUUUCUUCCUACGUCAUUCAUGGAGUCGUACAAGAUGACAAAAGGAGAGAGAGAGUUUUAAAGGAAUAUUUUCUGUUCUUUGAUAAAGUGUGAGCUACCCACACUAUAUACAUGUUUGAUAGCUUAUCCGGAACAAACCGGUUAAAUGAGUAAAGCUAAAAUGUACAACUAAACCAUAUACAUUAUACUCAUAAUAAACCAAUAUUCCCCCUCAAGAUGGAGCAUAUAUGUUAAUGAACUCCAUCUUGCUCAUAAGAUGUCGGAAAGGAGAAGGAUAGAGAGGUUUAGUAAGGAUGUCAGCUAGUUGAUUUGCUGUCCUUACAUGAAGAGUUCUCACUAGACCUUUCUUAACCCAUUCUCUAACAAUGUGACAAUCACGCUCCACAUGCUUCGUUCUCUCGUGAAAGACGGCAUUGUUGGCUAUAUGUAUGGCAGCUGUGUUGUCGCAGUACAAAGGUGCAGCUUCUCGAGUCUCAAUCCAAAGAUCUUCCAUCAUGUUUCGAAACCAGAGCAUCUCCUUAACCGCUUCGGACAUGGCGCGAUAUUCAGACUCAGCGGAAGAACUAGAGACAGUGUCUUGCUUGUUUGACUUCCAAGUAAUGAGAGAAGAGCCUACAAAGACGCAUAAACCAGAGACACUUCGACGAGUAUCAGGGCAUGAACCCCAAUCAGCAUCAGUGAAGGCAGAGAGCUUCAAGUCUGAACAAGCUGAGUAAAAGAGACCCAAGCCGAUUGUCCCUUUGAGGUAAUGCAAGACCUUGUAAGCAGCAUGAAGAUGUGGAGCUCGUGGAGAGGAAGUGAACUGACAAAGCUUGUGAACAGCAAAAGUGAUAUCUGGUCGAGUAAAAGUCAGAUAAAGGAGCUUUCCAACAAGUCGUCGAUAUACCUCGGCGUUAGGUAAGAGCUCACCAUCUUCUGUAGACAACUUAACACUGGGAUCCAUGGGAAUUGAGGAAGGUUUACAGCCAAGUAGACCAGUAUCAGCCAAUAAGUCAAGCACAUAUUUACGUUGACAGAUGGAAAUCCCUGAAGAAGACCGAGCGAUUUCCAGACCAAGGAAGUAUCUCAGAGUUCCUAAGUCACGUAGUUUAAAAGAGGCUUGAAGAGCUUCUUUAAGAAGCAUUGUGGCUUUCUCACAACUACUUGCGAUGAUGAUGUCAUCAACGUAGACCAAGACUGCCAUGUAAGUGUUCCCAGAAUUCUUGAGGAAAAGGGUAUGAUCACCGGAAGAAACAGUAAAACCCAACUGCAGCAACGUCUCUGAAAACUUUAAAAACCAUUGACGAGAGGCUUGUUUCAAACCAUAAAGUGACUUCUUCAACUUACAGACAGCAUUAGGAGGGAAAAAUUCCCCCUGUCUAGGUGAGUAUCCUGGUGGUAAAGACAUGUAGAUUUCUUCGUCUAAGUCACCGUUGAGAAAGGCAUUUGAGAUGUCAAGUUGAGACAGCGACCAAUUCUUUGCAGCGGCAACAGCGAGAAGUAACUUAACAGUAGAGAGCUUGGCUACGGGUGAAAAGGUUUCGACAUAAUCUAUUCCCUCCUGUUGCGUAUAACCCUUAGCAACAAGUCUUGCUUUAUAUCUCUCUAGAGUACCAUCUGCAUUCAGUUUGACCUUAAAAACCCAUUUGCAUCCAACAUCUCGUUUUCCCUCAGGUAAGGAACAUAUUAACCAAGUGUUGUUCUCCUCCAGAGCAGUGAUUUCAACUCCCAUAGCAUCACACCAUUCCUUUAACUUGCAAGCCUGAGCAAAAUUGCGAGGUUCAGGGAUGCUAUUAACGGCAUUGAUGAAGAUCUGAUAAGGAUCGGAAAUAGCUUCAUAAGACAGGAAGUUUGAGAUAGGAUGCUCUGUACAGGAAGUCACAGAGUUACAGUCAUAGUCUUGCAGAUAACGCGGAGGCUUGGACACUCUGCGUGUAGAUGGCUCAGUUGAGGAAGACGGUUCAUCAGGAGAGACGUCUGCAACUGGUACAUCAGUAUAUAAGUGAGGAAAGAACUUAUCUUUGUCUGCAACAUCAGUAGAUUGAAGAAACGGAAAGAGAUUCUCAUAGAAGACUACAUUCCGAGAUAUAAAUAUCUCAUUACUCUGAACAUCAAGAAGUUUGUACCCUUUGUAACCAGAUGGGUAUCCAAGGAAAACACAUGCCCGUGCUCUGUCCUGAAACUUGUGACGACCCUUAGGAGAAGUACUAGCGUAACAAAGGCAUCCAAAUGUUUUGAGGUUCGAGUAAUCUGGAGCUUUAGAAGUCAGCAUCUCAAAAGGAGUCUUAUUCCCAAUAACAGCAGAAGGUGUUCUAUUAAUCAAGAAGGCAGCAGUGAGGACGCAAUCACCCCAAUGACUGAGAGGAACACCAGAUUGGAAGAGGAGAGCUCUGGCUACGUUAAGAAGAUGCUGAUGCUUGCGCUCCACGACAGAAUUCUGUUCUGGAGUUUCUGGGCAAGAGUGAUAGGAUAUAAUUCCUUUCGCUUUGUAGAGAGCAUCAAAACGUAACUCAGGGGCGUUAUCAGCACGAACUGACUUGAUAUGAGCAUCAUACUGCGUUUCAACCAUGCGAAUGAAAUCCGGGAAGAUAGUUAGGACAUCGCUCUUCUGUUUGAGAAGAUAAAUCCAAGUGACGCGAGUAUGAUCGUCAACUAUGGUGAGGAAGUAUUUAUAUCCUUCCUGCGUAGGUUCAGAGAAUGGCCCCCAGACAUCAAUGUGAAGCAGUUCAAAUGGUGUAGAACAUAGCUUAGGACGUAAAUGAUAAGACAAUUUCUUUUGUUUAGCACGAUGACAGACUUCACAAUGCAUCAAUCCUUUAUUCUUUGUCUUUGAAAAACCAAGUACAUCAGAGAGAAGUUCUAUACGCUCAAAAGAACUGUGUCCAAAACGUUGGUGCCAAACAGAAGCAUCUACAACAUUAUUAGUAAAGGAAGAAGAGGAAACAGGAGCUGCAGCACUUGUAUCAGCAACAUCCAAGACGUACAGGUUCGCAAUCCGCUUACCGCUUCCAAUCAUCGACCCCCUGAUAGGAUCCUGUAUUGUAAAAGAACCAGAAUCAAAGAUCACUUGAGCUCCAAUAUCAUAAGUCAAAGAGCUGACACUCAAAAGAUUGAGUCUAAAUUCUGGGAUAAACAGAACAUUCUGCAGGGUCAAAGUAGCAUCAAUGAUGAUCUGACCGAUGCCACCAACUUUGAGUGUUGAACCAUUUGGAAGAUUCACAAAAUGGUUAACGGAAGUAUCAAUAUUAUGAAAAGCAUCACGUUCGUGAGAAACAUGGUGGGUUGCACCAGAGUCUACGAUCCAUGUGUGCUUAUCAGUGACACACUUAGUGACACUGAGAAUUCCAAUAAAGCUGAAUGUGGAAGAGGAGAAGGAUAUACCAGAGUGGUCAGUGGGCUGAGACACAGAAGGAGAAGCAGCACCACGAUCAGGUUGAAGCUGAGAACUGAAAUAGGCAAUAAAGUUCUGAAUUUGAUCCUUGUUCAGCUUGCCAACGAGAUUAUCAAGACCACUAACAACUGAGGAUGAAUCCUGAACAGCAACACUAGCUGCAACGACAUGAGCCUUUGGUUGAGAAGACCUAUCAGUGUUUGAUCUCCCCUUCUUCCAACCAACUGGAUAACCAUGGAGCUUGUAACAACGAUCAAUAACAUGACCAGUGUUUCCACAGUGAGCACAAAUCGGUCCAGAUUUCCUCUGAAAAGCAUUCACCGCGCCUUGAUGAGGAGGGUUUGAAUCACCACCGAGUGAAGCAGACGGUGCAGAGUUAGAAGACACAGGCAACACAGUGGACUGAGAUGUGCCAUGACUAACUUGAAAGGCAAUGGGAGUGAUGACAGAGUUGAACUGGCGUUGGCUAUCAUCUUGAUCUAAAAUGUUGCAAAUCUCCGCAAGGUCAGGAAGAGGCUUUCUCAUGAGAAUCUGACUACGAAUGAUAGAAUAUUUCUCAUUGAGACCAGCCAAGAACUUGAUGGUUCUGCCGCGUUCAAUCUUAGCUUUGGCUGCACGCUGGCUGAGACAACUCGUUGUGUUGCAACAGAGACAGGUUUCAGGAGGUUCCGUGCCGUCCAAGUUGUCCCAAAGGGUCUUGAGAGUAGUGUAAUACCCAGAGAGAUCCAUGGAACCUUGACGGAGAUCUUGAAUCUGUUGAAUCAACUGAAAAGUCCGUGGUAGAUUCGUCUUAUGAAAACGAUUAUGAAGGUCAGUCCAUAUCUCAGUCGCAUCAUCAAAUGACAAAAUACUACCGUAGAUUUGAGAGGAAACCGAGUUGAGAAGCCAAGAUUUUACCAUACUGUUACAACGAGACCAGAUCCGAAACAAAGGAGUAACGGAAUCAGGACGAGGGAGAGACCCAUCAACAAAAGCGAUCUUGUUCUUCGCAUCGAGAGCGAUCUUCAUCGCAGAGCACCACUGGGUGUAGUUUGAUCCAUCCAGAGUAAGGGAAACGAUCAACAACCCGGGAUGAUCAGCGUGAUGAAGGAACAACGGCGAGUGAACACUGUCUGGGUUCAUCGAGACGGAGAAAGCGUACGGAUCCGGAACAAGCGGGGCUACAACAGCUUCAGGUGAAGGGGAGCCUCCAGGGUUUGGAUUCGAGCUACCGGCGCGUGUAGAACGACCAGAACGGCGAGAACGACGGAGAGAAACCACCAUCGUGACGACGAAGCAAUACGACAAAAGAAACAGAGAUCGAUGAAAGGUCACAAAACGGAGCUCAAAAGAAAGAGCAGAGAACGAUGUUGAGCUUGUGCUCAACGCUCUGAUACCAUAUUAGUGUUUCAGAGGUGAACAGAAAGGAACUUUCUUCCUACGUCAUUCAUGGAGUCGUACAAGAUGACAAAAGGAGAGAGAGAGUUUUAAAGGAAUAUUUUCUGUUCUUUGAUAAAGUGUGAGCUACCCACACUAUAUACAUGUUUGAUAGCUUAUCCGGAACAAACCGGUUAAAUGAGUAAAGCUAAAAUGUACAACUAAACCAUAUACAUUAUACUCAUAAUAAACCAAUAGAAACAUCUAUAAAAUCCAUUAUAUCAAAUGGUACAUCCUAGGUCUCAUAAGUCAUGGCCUUAGUCAGCUCAAAAAAACCAUCUCAAAUAAGCAAAUAUAACACAUCCAGUUUCAAGACUAGUUACAAAGAAACUCAUACUUUAUGCCCCACCCAAUCCUAAAACGGAAAAGAUUCCAGAUUCGUCAAGUCAAGCAAGAUCGAGAAGACAGCAACACAAUCUACAGAAAGCAUGCGACUUGAGACGGUAGCCCCAUAGGGACCCAAAAG
rnacentral:lncRNA from 1 species